CCUACGGGCGGCAGCAGUGGGGAAUAUUGGACAAUGGGCGAAAGCCUGAUCCAGCCAUGCCGCGUGUGUGAAGAAGGCCUUCGGGUUGUAAAGCACUUUCAAUGGGGAAGAAAGCCUUGGGGCUAAUACCCUCGAGGAAGGACAUCACCCACAGAAGAAGCACCGGCUAACUCCGUGCCAGCAGCCGCGGUAAUACGGAGGGUGCGAGCGUUAAUCGGAAUUACUGGGCGUAAAGCGCGCGUAGGCGGUCUGAUAAGCCGGUUGUGAAAGCCCCGGGCUCAACCUGGGAACGGCAUCCGGAACUGUCAGGCUAGAGUGCAGGAGAGGAAGGUAGAAUUCCCGGUGUAGCGGUGAAAUGCGUAGAGAUCGGGAGGAAUACCAGUGGCGAAGGCGGCCUUCUGGACUGACACUGACGCUGAGGUGCGAAAGCGUGGGUAGCAAACAGGAUUAGAUACCCUUGUAGUC
rnacentral:rRNA from 1 species